CUACUACUCGCUCCGUCCGAAAAUACUUGUCAUUGAAAUGGAUGUAUCUAGAUGUAUUUUAGUUCUAGACACAUCCAUUUUGAUGACAAGUAAUUCCGGACGGAGGGAGUAUUAU
rfam:Triticum aestivum genome assembly, contig: Triticum_aestivum_CS42_TGACv1_scaffold_513566_6BS